rnacentral:rRNA from 1 species
CGGCAUCAGCUCAAAUUUGAAAUCUGGCUCUUUCAGAGUCCGAGUUGUAAUUUGCAGAGGGCGCUUUGGUGUCGGCAGCGGUCCAAGUUCCUUGGAACAGGACGUCACAGAGGGUGAGAAUCCCGU